rnacentral:lncRNA from 1 species
UUUUUAUUGAACACAAGUAUUCUGACAGAAUGCAAAGUCAAAAUUCUCAGUUAGUACUCAGUAUUUACACCAGUGAGAAUGGAAACAAAGGUGGUAUCGAUGUUUCACUUGGUAAAAAGUUUUAUAACAAGAGAGAAGGCCCCCGAAGUACAGAAUGCUGGGUAGGGAUGUUAAUGGAGGUCUGAAAACCGCCGUCCAGACAGACGCCUCGAGUGAAAACCUGGGACUCGGAAGGCUCCAUAGAAAAGUGUGAAAAUAGAGUUCCACCUCCAAAGCUGCACUAUGUACACCACAGCCCUGCAGGGUCCAGUGGCCCUGCUCAUCACACUUGAGUGCUCCUCCAGCAGAACUUGGCCAUGCCGGUCUUCAUGUGAAUACAUAUGUAUGGCACAUACACACAUAGACACAUAGACAUUGGAAACUGGUGGAGUUGAUCCCUCCUUCAAAAAUUAAAAAAAAAGAAAAUUAUAAGCUUUGAUCUCUUAACAUAAAAGAUAAAACAUCUUGGAAUAAAAUGACUCCCUCUUUGAUUUUAGAGAAAGCAUUGCUUAUUUACUUUUUUUUAAAAAAGGAAAACUCUUGCAUGCUAAGACAAACCUACAUGUAAUGGGAGAGAACAGACCAAAAUGUGGGCAGAGUCUUAGGUCCUAGCUAAUGGCAGAGCCAGGGUUCUAGGGGGUCAGCUGCCCCGGGCCAGGUGAUCUGAGAGCUGACCUGUUUCUUUCUAACCAUCAGAACCAAAAUCAGUUGACCUAACCAUAACCACUUUGACAGUCUUGACAAGGCAUGGCAUGGGCUUGGCCUGGUGUGGCAAAGCCAUCGACACUACAAGAUGAGGAACUGAGUCCGCUGAACAGCCUGGUGACUGGAAGAGCCUGCCCCUCACUGCUGGGCCCUCCCGGUCUCAGACACCCAGGCUCUCAUAUUCUACUGUGUGUUCCAAGAUCUCUCUCCAUGUUCCUCUAUCCUGAGGGCCUGUGCAUUUGAACCAGAGAUCUGUGCUGGCCCUAGAAUCAAAGGGGCCAGGGCUCUGUGUUCUGGGAUCCUCCAUUUCCAUCCCCAGGAGCUGAGAAAAUGCAACGUAACCCCACAGUGAGCAAAUGACAAGACCAUUAUUCUUCACAGUUUGAAAGUAUAAUCUAGCAUCGCCACUGAUCGGACUGCAGAAGUGUCAGAACAUUGGGGAGACUGGCCCACAGAAUCGACCCAGAGGCAGCCUUGCCACCCUAACCUCUUGCUGCUUUGUACCUUAGGAGAGGAGCGCAUGCGGAGUACUGAUUUCUGUUUACUUAGCGUCAUCUUCAUCAUCAUCAUCAUUUGUAUUUCAUUUUCUUUGUUUAAAGGCUUCGAUUCCUUUUAAGAGUGAUUUUUGUUUCCUGAAUAUUUUUUUCUGAACUAUCUGCUAUACCUUCCACAACCAAACUAUGUUGAAGUUUUAUUUCAAUACUAUGACAAAAACACGUUUCACACUAAAAUAUUCACGCAUCCACAGUGCACAAGCUUGCAGUUCUAAAGUAGAAUGAGGAAAAAAAAAAAGCAAAAUUUCUAUACAAAGGGCUGGCUUUUCCCUUCUCCCCGCCCUCCCAUCCCCCUUAAAGUUUCUGUAUUUUUCCCCCACUUGGUUUCCAAUCCAGGAAAGUUGUGUUAUGACUCCAGACAGUAGGUUGUUUCUUUUCUCUUUUGUUUCUAUAAAUGCUGCCUAAGUGAACAGAAGGCCGAUGUUACUUUACUUCAACAGAUUUCCAAAAAAAGACACUAAUUCCCUGAAGCACACAUGCUCUUCCGCUCAAAUCUAGAUUCUGGGCUCAAAAGGAAAUGGUAUGUAUAUAUUUUAUUUGGCUUUCUACACAAAGGGGAUGUGUGGGGUAAUAAUGUGUGUUCACCAAGACCAGCCCCAACUAUACAAUCUUCUCUGCUUCAUUCAACAAAGCCUAAGGAGUCCUUCAAAAGAAGGGUGAGAACGCCUGGGAGCAGAUCCCUUUUCACAGAUGCAGGCAGGUGGCGGCUAAUCAGAAAGUGGUCUAACCCCCA